ensembl:rRNA 5S_rRNA 5S ribosomal RNA
GUCUACGGCCAUACCACCCUGAACGCGCCCGAUCUCAUCUGAUCUCAGAAGCUAAGCAGGGUCGGGCCUGGUUAGUACUUGGAUGGGAGAAAAGCAGGUACAGAGAGCA